rnacentral:rRNA from 1 species
CCUACGGGAGGCUGCAGUGGGGAAUAUUGGACAAUGGGCGCAAGCCUGAUCCAGCCAUGCCGCGUGAGUGAUGAAGGCCUUAGGGUUGUAAAGCUCUUUUGUCCGGGACGAUAAUGACGGUACCGGAAGAAUAAGCCCCGGCUAACUUCGUGCCAGCAGCCGCGGUAAUACGAAGGGGGCUAGCGUUGCUCGGAAUCACUGGGCGUAAAGGGCGCGUAGGCGGUCUUUUAAGUCGGGGGUGAAAGCCUGUGGCUCAACCACAGAAUUGCCUUCGAUACUGGAAGACUUGAGUUCGGAAGAGGUUGGUGGAACUGCGAGUGUAGAGGUGAAAUUCGUAGAUAUUCGCAAGAACACCGGUGGCGAAGGCGGCCAACUGGUCCGACACUGACGCUGAGGCGCGAAAGCGUGGGGAGCAAACAGGAUUAGAUACCCUAGUAGUC